rnacentral:lncRNA from 1 species
ACUUUACCUUGUACUAUGGCAGCAGAAAAUUAGGGAUGCACAAUGCCCUCACCUUGCUAUUUGCUGUCCACACAAGAAGAACAACCAUACCUCUUGCAACUUGGCCUUGUACCACAUUACAUUGCAGAUUUUUGGCCCAUGAUUUUCUGUCAAAAAGCCAAACAGUAGCAGCAUGGUUUUCCUUCUCCUCUUUUUCCUGUCAUGAGCACCAUACUGCAGCAGAGGAAGAGACAAAAAAGCCUUAGCAUGAACUAAAAAAAUCAUUCAAAAAAAAUCUGCAGUAGCCUCUAACCACCAUUAAAAAACUCUCUCAAAACUGGACCUGUCAAAGAGAUCAAUGGCAGACCAACCAAACCUCUCAUUUUUCUCUCAAGCCUCACUUUGGCUAUUGUUCUAAAAC